GAAAAAAAGUUCUAUUAAUAAUUUGUCAAAAGUUCAAAAGAUCCUUUUACAAAGAAAAGAUAAACUAUUUAUAGACACAAAAUGACUACUCAAAUUCGACAUCUAUGUGUUCACACAAUUAAUAAAAUUGUUCACACUAAAUCAUUAAAAUUUCUGUUCGUGCUUGAAGAUGGUGCAUGAAUUGGCCGAACCAUCAUGUUGCUUCACUUGAUGCAUUCAAGCAUACUUAGCCUUGAAGAAUAGCCUUAAUUCCAUGAAUGUGCAGCCCUUUAAUGUUCCUACAUCUCCUUUGGCUGAAUGGAGCUUUAAAGUACCUUAAAAACUUGAAUGAUCAUCUUGAAAAUACAUGAAACAUGCCUAAAACAUCCCAAGAUAUGUUCUUCCUUAAAUUUUGUCCAUGAAUGUGCAAAUGCAUGAACAUUCAGUAGCCCCCUUCUUGCAUGAACGUCCCAAGUACUUGUGCUUCCUUAAAUGCCUUCCAUUGAACCUCAAUUGUGCAUACACACUCCCAUACAUUGCACCAAGCCAUUCAUGAAACUGCAACAAAUAAAAUCAGCAAGUUAAAUGCAUUUCAGACACAUUAAAUUAGCAGCAUAUGAACUCAUUAAUUUGUACAUUAAAUUCGGCCAUACAUAUUAACAAUUUCAAACAUAUUUAAAACAACACAAUUAAUUAAUUUAAUUUAGAUAUAAUUAAAACACUUAAUUAAUUAUUUGUCCAGAUUUUAACAAAUUAAUUAACUUAAAAUAAACAACUAAUUUAACUAAAGACAAAUUAAAUGGUUUAUUUCAGCAAAAUAAAUACAAGCUAAAGAAAGCUAAAAAUAAGCUCUUUCGGUUAAGAUUGAGCUGAAUUGAGCUCGAAUGAGCUGACUUGAGCUCGAUUGAGCUGAACUAAGUUAAAUUCGGCUUGCACUAAGGUGCACAGACUGCUCAAAGUUUGGGCUCGAGCUAGUCCUUCAUCUUUGGGAUGGAAUUCAUGCCAAAACUGACUCAUUAACGCUGCCACAUCCUCUUGCAUUUGAUUAGCUCGAGAUCGAAUAUUCAGGCCUUUAGGAGGAUCGAGAGGAUGGAAAAGUGAAUUUUGGGUUGCCCCGGGUAUGCUCACAUCAGAUGAUGCCACUAGCG
rnacentral:lncRNA from 1 species